GAUGAACGCUGGCGGCGUGCCUAAUACAUGCAAGUCGAGCGAACGGACGAGAAGCUUGCUUCUCUGAUGUUAGCGGCGGACGGGUGAGUAACACGUGGAUAACCUACCUAUAAGACUGGGAUAACUUCGGGAAACCGGAGCUAAUACCGGAUAAUAUUUUGAACCGCAUGGUUCAAAAGUGAAAGACGGUCUUGCUGUCACUUAUAGAUGGAUCCGCGCUGCAUUAGCUAGUUGGUAAGGUAACGGCUUACCAAGGCAACGAUGCAUAGCCGACCUGAGAGGGUGAUCGGCCACACUGGAGCUGAGACACAGUCCAGACUCCUACGGGAGGCAGCAGUAGGGAAUCUUCCGAAAUGGGCGAAAGCCUGACGGAGCAACGCCGCGUAAGUGAUGAAGGUCUUCGGAUCGUAAAACUCUGUUAUUAGGGAAGAACAUAUGUGUAAGUAACUGUGCACAUCUUGACGGUACCUAAUCAGAAAGCCACGGCUAACUACGUG
rnacentral:rRNA from 1 species